rnacentral:rRNA from 1 species
CAGCAGCCGCGGUAAUACGUAUGGGACGAGCGUUGUCCGGAAUUACUGGGCGUAAAGGGCGCGCAGGCGGAUAUUUAAGUCAGCUGUAAAAGGCAUGAGCUCAACUCAUGUAUGCGGUUGAAACUGGGUAUCUAGAGUGCUGGAGAGGUAGGCGGAAUUCCCGGUGUAGCGGUGUAAUGCGUAGAUAUCGGGAAGAACACCAGUGGCGAAGGCGGCUUACUGGCCAGCAACUGACGCUGAGGCGCGAAAGCCAGGGGAGCGAACGGGAUUAGAUACCCCGGUAGUCCCGGCCGUAAACGAUGAAUGCUAGGUGUGGGUGUCGAGAGGCAUCCGUGCCGGAGUUAACGCGAUAAGCAUUCCGCCUGGGGAGUACGAUCGCAAGAUUGAAACUCAAAGGAAUUGACGGGGGCCCGCACAAGCGGUGGAGCACGUGGUUUAAUUCGAUGCAAACCGAA